UGGGGAAUAUUGCACAAUGGGCGAAAGCCUGAUGCAGCAACGCCGCGUGAGUGAUGAAGGUCUUCGGAUUGUAAAGCUCUGUCUUUUGGGACGAUAAUGACGGUACCAAAGGAGGAAGCCACGGCUAACUACGUGCCAGCAGCCGCGGUAAUACGUAGGUGGCGAGCGUUGUCCGGAUUUACUGGGCGUAAAGGGUGCGUAGGCGGAUGUUUAAGUGAGAUGUGAAAUACCCGGGCUUAACUUGGGUGCUGCAUUUCAAACUGGAUAUCUAGAGUGCAGGAGAGGAGAAUGGAAUUCCUAGUGUAGCGGUGAAAUGCGUAGAGAUUAGGAAGAACACCAGUGGCGAAGGCGAUUCUCUGGACUGUAACUGACGCUGAGGCACGAAAGCGUGGGUAGCAAACAGGAUUAGAUACCCUGGUAGUCCACGCCGUAAACGAUGAGUACUAGGUGUAGGAGGUAUCGACCCCUUCUGUGCCGCAGUAAACACAUUAAGUACUCCGCCUGGGG
rnacentral:rRNA from 1 species